rnacentral:rRNA from 1 species
AUUGAACGCUGGCGGUAGGCCUAACACAUGCAAGUCGAACGAGUGGCGGACGGGUGAGUAAUGCUUGGGAAUCUGCCUUAUGGAGGGGGAUAACUACUGGAAACUGUAGCUAAUACCGCGUACCAUAGGAUGAGCCCAAAUGGGAUUAGGUAGUUGGUGGGGUAAAGGCUCACCAAGCCGACGAUCUCUAGCUGGUCUGAGAGGAUGACCAGCCACACGUGGACUGGUACACGGCCCAGACUCCUACGGGAGGCAGCAGUGGGGAAUAUUGCGCAAUGGGGGCAAGCCUGAGGCAGCCAUGCCGCGUGUAUGAAGAAGGCCUUCGGGGUGUAAAGUACUUUCGGUGGCGAGGCGUUAACUACAGAAGAAGCACCGGCUAACUCCGUGCCAGCAGCCGCGGUAAUUC